GAUGAACGCUGGCGGCGUGCUUAACACAUGCAAGUCGAACGAAGCACCUUGAUUUGAUUCUUCGGAUGAAGAUCUUGGUGACUGAGUGGCGGACGGGUGAGUAACGCGUGGGUAACCUGCCUCAUACAGGGGGAUAACAGUUAGAAAUGACUGCUAAUACCGCAUAAGACCACAGCACCGCAUGGUGCAGGGGUAAAAACUCCGGUGGUAUGAGAUGGACCCGCGUCUGAUUAGGUAGUUGGUGGGGUAACGGCCUACCAAGCCGACGAUCAGUAGCCGACCAAAGAGAGGGGGCGGACAAGAGGAGAGUGAGACACGGCGCAGACGCGCACGAGGGGCCGCCGUGGGGAAUAUAGGAAAAUGGAGAGAAAGCUGAUGCAGCGACAGCGAGGGAGCGAGGAAGUGUAUCAGUAAGUAAAGCUCUAUCAACAGGGAAGAAAACGACGGUAAAAAACGAAGAAGCACCGGCAAAAUACGAG
rnacentral:rRNA from 1 species